UAUAUAUUAUAUAUUAAUCGGACGAUGACAGAACAAUUACUCAAGGUGGGAACACUGCAAUCGCCAACCAGGAGAUUGAAAAAAACGAGAAAUAGGAACUAAUCUUUUUGUUUCCUUCAUGUCCAAUGUUUUGUUCGUAAAGUGAUUUGGUGCGAAUUUGAAUCAGUUAUUCUACUUUAGGUGGACGAGCCAUACAAAGAAGUGGAGAUGGAAGAAGCGGUUCCGAGCCUAGAGCAUAAAGCAUAAACAGUCAGCAGAAGCACGAGGUGAUGGUGACCAGGGUGAGUGGAUAACCUGAAGCAUAGACGACUGGUGUACGUGUAAUGAUGGCAGCGCAGUGAAGAAAAUCUAUGCAGUAGGUGGACCAUUAACCUUGAAGGUUUGUAGACUGAUCAA